rnacentral:rRNA from 1 species
CCUACGGGUGGCAGCAGUAGGGAAUUUUUCACAAUGAGCGAAAGCCUGAUGGAGCAACGCCGCGUGCAGGAUGAAGGCCUUCGGGUUGUAAACUGCUUUUAUAAGCGAGAAAUAUGAUGGUAACUUAUGAAUAAGGAUCGGCUAACUACGUGCCAGCAGCCGCGGUCAUACGUAGGAUCCGAGCAUUAUCCGGAGUGACUGGGUGUAAAGAGUUGCGUAGGUGGCAUAAUAAGUAGCUAGUGAAAUCUGGUGGCUCAACCAUUCAGACUAUUAGCUAAACUGUUAAGCUCGAGACCGUUAGGGGUAACUGGAAUUUCUAGUGUAGGAGUGAAAUCCGUAGAUAUUAGAAGGAACACCAAUAGCGUAGGCAGGUUGCUGGGACGGUUCUGACACUAAGGCACGAAAGCGUAGGGAGCAAACGGGAUUAGAUACCCGUGUAGUC